AUUUGUUUUCACAAUUUCCAGAACCUAUUGGCUUUGGCCAUGACAUCGUGUGUUACCAUUCCCUUUUGAGUGUUUGGACAUGCGAAGCCCCGUGGAAGCGUGCUUAAUGCAGAUGAGAACCUAUUGGCUUUGGCCAUGACAUCGUGUGUUACCAUUCCCUUUUGAGUGUUUGGACAUGCGAAGCCCCGUGGAAGCGUGCUUAAUGCAGAUGAGCCCUCAGGGAACAGGCGCCAGCUCCUGAGGAGAUGAGAGGAACCAGCAAGCCCAGUGGCAAGAGCAAGGGAAUGGCUUCUGGAGGAGCAGCUGAGGAGCGCGGCAGAGCUCUCUGUCCUCCUGCCCUGCAGAGCCAGGGUCAGCAGCCGUAAGAAAG